CUCUACAGCCAUGUGACCCUGAAUGCACCCAACCUCAUCUGAUCUUGGAAGCUAAACAGGGUCAGGCUUGGUUAAUACUUGGAUGGGAGACUUACUCCUACCAUUUUAUUAUUUGUUUUCU
rfam:Pongo abelii chromosome 13.